AGGGUCCAAAGAUCAUUGCGCACCUCUCACUCAUGGCUAGAGUUGAACUUUACUUUUCUAUAGUUGGGACAAGCGUUGCUCCAUAUUCUCCUCCACGUGGCUAGUUUGAUCGUUGAAGGCUAUUUAGUUGGUGAGUUCCCAUGUUUUGGGAACAACAUUUCAUUUUUUUCUUGCUUAUGACAUGUAUAGACUUUGAUUAUCUUUUGUUAUUUUUGGUACUACAUUUGAGGGUGAGCUAGGGACAUGUCUUAGCCCCUGCCAAGUCUAAGGAAAGUAGAGGUAUCAUUGGACAAUUAGAUGAUGUUUUGAAGUUGUUAAUGACUCUUGUUCUA